CUUUUCGUUUAGUACUAGAGUAAUGCCAUGGUAAGAGGGAAGUUAUUAGUUCGAAUCCGAUAAAC
rnacentral:tRNA from 2 species